UGUAUAAUUUUUUAAUAGCUUACGGUUUUUUAUUACCUGAAAGUCAAGAAAUAUGGAAUCGCAUAAGUUUUGGAAUUAUGUAUAUUAUAAUUUGUAUUAAUAUUGUUUUAUUACCAGUAAAAAUAAACUUAGUGAAAUUAAGCUUUUAAACAUUACUUUAACAAAACAUGUAGUUCAAAAAGCAAACACAAUAAGAGGCCCAUAUUGUUUUUCCUGCAUUGAAUUAUUGUGGGAUGAACUGGAUAGACAAGUGCGAAAAUCAUGCCCUACAUCAAAAGAAGACUUGUGGAGGAGCAUCCAAGGAGAGUGGCACAAGUUACCUCAGGAAACUUUGGACAAAUGAAUUAGAAGACUACCGAAACUCUGUGAAGCUGUUAUUAAAAAUCGAGGCGGACAUGUAGAUGAAUCCAAAAUUUGAUUUUCUUAAAUUUAAUUAAUUGAAAAAUGUAUUGUUUAUAUUCAUUUUGUUAUAAAUAAACCCUUUCAUAAGAAUAA
rnacentral:lncRNA from 1 species